UGGCCAAAAUCUGACCCAACACCUAGAAUGUUUGAACCCAAUGCCAUGGAUUGUAGGGAAGUCUAUAACGGCGAAACGUUUGGUUUGUGCAUCUCCAGAGCUCUUAAGUAGGCCUGGACGUUAUUAUCCUUCCUAAAACAAAGGAAACCUUCAUUAGAAAUAUAUUCCAUGUCAAACAUUCAAUAAUUUGUAGGUUUGUAGGUUUGUAUCUCACCAGCUCGCGAUAUCCUCAGGGUCAGAUAUGUAGCUGAGAAUUGGAAGAUCAAGUGGUGGAAAGCUGCUGCGCGGAGGCCGCUAGUAGGAAUACUUUGG
rnacentral:sRNA from 2 species